rnacentral:rRNA from 1 species
UACGAAGGGGGCUAGCGUUGCUCGGAAUCACUGGGCGUAAAGCGCAUGUAGGCGGCUUUUUAAGUCAGAGGUGAAAUCCUGGAGCUCAACUCCAGAACUGCCUUUGAUACUGGAGUGCUUGAGUCCGGGAGAGGUGAGUGGAACUGCGAGUGUAGAGGUGAAAUUCGUAGAUAUUCGCAAGAACACCAGUGGCGAAGGCGGCUCACUGGCCCGGAACUGACGCUGAGGUGCGAAAGCGUGGGGAGCAAACAGG